ensembl:lncRNA
UGAUGCUGAUUCAAAGUGUCAUCACUGUGAGCAAAGACCUUCAUCCUCGGUGAUUGGGGUCUGAAAGGAGGGGGCCCUACAGCCAAGAGAAGGUAUCAAGGAAAUUGGAAGGGCAUCCAGAGCAUCCAGGCUGGUCCAGGAGGUCAUCAGUAACCUGUGGAGACACUGAGGCCUCUCCCAUCCGUAUUCACCUACUAUGUGCAACUCAGCAGAUGGAGGAUGUAACAGGAGGAAAAAAACUACAAAGGUAAAAAAUCGCAAAAAUUAACUUUUCAUUCAUAAAGGUUGACAAUCAUUUCACAGUGCAAUUCUUCCUACUCAGGACUUUAAAAAAGCCCGACCACUUGAAAAUAAGCACAAAGAAAGCGGACAUCUUUGGUGAAUAUGCAGAACAUUAUGGAAAAAAUUACUGAUUUUAAAAAAACAAAAAAGAUGAUAGAUUUUGAGGCUGGGUCUUCAUAGAGAUGAAUAUAUCGGGUUUUUUGUCUCUCUACAGGUGGUGCCAUGGGGAUCCCAAAGGAUGGGGAGUGAUGGGGGCACAGAGGUGCUUGGGGUGCCACCCAGAGCACUUGGGCCAUGCUGCAAAAUAGAUGCAGCCCCGUUGUGAAGGGAAAAGUUCCUCUGUUAUUCCCAUUCCAAGAUGAUGAGCCCCCAAAGAAAUAAUGCUCCUUGUUAAAAUGGACUGUAAUGAGUCUGAGAUGUCGGGAUGCUCUCAGGAGUGACAGACAGGAAACCCUGCUGAGCCAUCUCCUUGUGCUUUCUGGACUAAGGGAAGAUGUGGGGCCUUGGUGCAUUGGGAAGAGCUCCCUGGUUCCAUAAACCAUUUUCUGCACACUUUGGCAUUUCUCCCCAUGCCUGAUGGCCUGGGGGCUGAGGACCUGACUCCACAAAGUCUCCAUCCAGAUCACCAACCUGCACCCAGAGGCAGGAACCCCAGGUGGGGCAGGACCUGGCAUGGGCUCAGCCUGCCUGGGGGUAUCCCAGAGGAGAGCCUGCCACGCAGAGCAGCAGCUCCUCAGGCCAGCAGAAAUCCACAUGCCUGCUCACAAGUGCCCAGUUCCAGAGCAAAAUGGAAAAUUGGACAGAAAAGAAUCCUCUGGAGCACAUCCCAUGCUGAGGGUGGUAAGCCAUGAAACAUUCACUGCAGUUGCUUCUGUGCUGGUGUGAGCUGCUGUGCUGCUCCUCUCACCAUUGUCCCCAGCUGCAUUUUCCUCUUUCAUACUUCUGAAUAUUUUAAUGACAGUCUCAAAGUGCUGGGACUGAUCCUCUUCCCACAUUAGCAUCAGUCCAGGAUAACUUCAUCACCUGGAACAAGCCCUGGUGCAUGGGCAUGCAAGAGGAGCAUGAAUGGCAGGAUUCAAGUACUGAUCCCUUUUAUAACAGAAAAUCCAUUUUCAGGACUUUUCCUAAUCUUCUUUUAACUGGACUCUCCACUUGCUGAACUGAGGAGUUCCCACUGAGUUCAAACCCUUCCCUAAAAUAUUCCUUGAGAUGGUUCCAGGUAACAGGACUUUAUGUAUCAGAGCAUGAUGUCACAUCAAACACGGCAUCCAUCUGAAGAUUACCUCUUGUGCAGAGUGAGGCUGGGCUCCACUCCAUUGCACAAUUUUGGAACAAACUUUCAGCCCUUUCUCAAGUGGAAAAUCUCUGUGGGAUGCAGUUAUCUUGCAGAAUAAAGGCUGUUUUCUCUCUCUGAUUCA